UUUCUUUUUAUAUUUCUUUUAUUUAUUUUUUUGUCGCCGUUCCCUUCUCCUCACCCGACGCCCGAGUCAUCUUCCUCCCCCCGCGCGAGCCUUCGUGCCCUAACCGCCGGCCGGCGGUUUCUCCCUCGCGUAUAAGCCUCGACCACUUCUUCUCGCUUCUCAUCACUGGUCGAGCAUCCUCUUCUCGUUUUCUUCCUCCCGAGCCGCACACCCGAAGCAUCUCCAUCUUCUCCUCUGCCCAGCCGUGCCCUAGCAUCUCCAUCUUCUCCUCUGCCCAGCCGAAGCCCUCUUCUUCUUCUCCGACCCGAGCCGAGGCCUUCCUCUGCCGGCGCCGACCCCCACUCCUGUACCCGGGGCGACGCCUUCUUCCCUUCGCCGACGCCGCUGCCCUCUCUGGACCGAAGCAGCGCCGGCCACCUUGACUCCCUCUCCUCUCCUCUGGUCCGACUAGACACCGCUGGCCCCAACUCACAGAGUCGACAAUUCUUUGUCUUCUGCCCGAAACUGUUCUUCUGUGCUCUAGCCGGCUCCGACACCACUGAUACCGGCCGAUACCUUCUCCUCUCUGCCGACGCCACCGUGAACCCUAGCGCCGGCCACUUGGUUCAAUAUAGAUUUCCAGCGGCUGCCCUAUUCCGACAACAACUGCCGGUUGUGGAUUCAAUAGUGGAGAUUUGGGUGUUGAGGAUUUCCAUACCACUCGGACUGUUUGUCCUUUUACCCAGGUCCUGGUUGAUGCUGUCAAGAGGGAGUUCCAGUCGCUAGUUCUCACUGCUCGUAGUACUAGUUCCCUGCAGACCUCGAGGAUUUAUUGAUCAUUAGUU